UCGGUUCACCGAGAAAUGGGAGUGGCGAACGGGUGAGUAACACGUGGGUAACCUACCCAUCAGCGGGGGAUAACACUUGGAAACAGGUGCUAAUACCGCAUAAUUCUUUUCUUCGCCUGGAGGAAAGAUGAAAGACGCUUUUGCGUCACUGAUGGAUGGACCCGCGCUGCAUUAGCUAGUUGGUGGGGUAACGGCUCACCAAGGCCACGAUGCAUAGCCGACCUGAGAGGGUGAUCGGCCACACUGGGACUGAGACACGGCCCAGACUCCUACGGGAGGCAGCAGUAGGGAAUCUUCGGCAAUGGACGAAAGUCUGACCGAGCAACGCCGCGUGAGUGAAGAAGGUUUUCGGAUCGUAAAACUCUGUUGUUAGAGAAGAAUAAGGAUGAGAGUAGAAUGUUCAUCCCUUGACGGUAUCUAACCAGAAAGCCACGGCUAACUACGUGCCAGCAGCCGCGGUAAUACGUAGGUGGCAAGCGUUGUCCGGAUUUAUUGGGCGUAAAGCGAGCGCAGGCGGUUUCUUAAGUCUGAUGUGAAAGCCCCCGGCUUAACCGGGGAGGGUCAUUGGAAACUGGGAGACUUGAGUGCAGAAGAGGAGAGUGGAAUUCCAUGUGUAGCGGUGAAAUGCGUAGAUAUAUGGAGGAACACCAGUGGCGAAGGCGACUCUCUGGUCUGUAACUGACGCUGAGG
rnacentral:rRNA from 1 species